rnacentral:rRNA from 1 species
GACGAACGCUGGCGGCGUGCUUAACACAUGCAAGUCGAACGGAAAGGCCCUGCUUUUGUGGGGUGCUCGAGUGGCGAACGGGUGAGUAACACGUGAGUAACCUGCCCUUGACUUUGGGAUAACUUCAGGAAACUGGGGCUAAUACCGGAUAGGAGCUCCUGCUGCAUGGUGGGGGUUGGAAAGUUUCGGCGGUUGGGGAUGGACUCGCGGCUUAUCAGCUUGUUGGUGGGGUAGUGGCUUACCAAGGCUUUGACGGGUAGCCGGCCUGAGAGGGUGACCGGCCACAUUGGGACUGAGAUACGGCCCAGACUCCUACGGGAGGCAGCAGUGGGGAAUAUUGCACAAUGGGCGGAAGCCGGAUGCAGCAACGCCGCGUGCGGGAUGACGGCCUUCGGGGUGUAAACCGCUUUCGCCUGUGACGAAGCGUGAGUGACGGUAAUGGGUAAAGAAGCACCGGCUAACUACGUG